UGCUGAAAUGAGUUAAUUUAGCCAUUUCUUUGAAGUGUCUAUCAUACCGACUGCAAGGAAUCUUUGCACACUCUUUUCAGUAUUGCUUAGAUUUUUUCAGUUUUGUGGGCUUUCUUUAUAUCUCUGGUUUGGGUUGAGCAUAAUUAAACCCAGCCAUGUUUGGUAAACACAUUUUUGGGCCUUCAUAAGUAGAAUUUUAACGUUAUUGUUAAUCAGCUUUAAAUACCUGUAUGCGCUUGUUAACCCUCUUUGUAUUUAUUUCAGACCAAGUGAUCAACAUCAGUGUCAGUUGGACUGUGCAUUUGUGAUCUUACACAACCUGAACAGAUACUUUUUGUGUAAGUCUAAUUAUGUACAGACAUUUUCAGUCUUGUACUAAAAUUAUUACGACAAUAUGCAUACAGCUGAACUUUUGUACUCUAUUUACCAACCAACAGAUUGAGAACCCCCGGUGAUGAUACAGAGUACAUCACCAUAAUGGCUUCCGUUAUGGAGACCCCACCUUGUGGCUGCACAGCGUCAGGGGAUUUUAGUUUCAUUGUUUUCGUUCAUGCUUGAAAGCUGAAGGAGAGGAACUGAUGGCAGCAGGCAGCUGGAUGCUGUCAGUGGAAGGUCAGGUGGUGAUGGGACCAUGCCAAAACAUAAAGUCGGCCUGUGUUACCUUGCACACUUGAGUUCAUCCAAAGAGCCUUUAUCGGCUCAACCCAACAGAGGGAUCUAAGGCAAAGAAAAGAGGCCAAUCAAUGAAUCCCAAUGUAUGUACACUCCUUAAAAACUGAUGGACUUUUAGACUUGGAAUUUGAGUUUUGUUGGCAGUCAAAGUUCUAUUUUUGUAUAUUUUUUAUGAAGACAUCUAGAUUUUAAAUGUAUUUAAUUGCACAUAAUGUUUAGUUUUCGGUUUAAUGUACAGUCAUACACUGAUUGAAUCGGGGAAUGUCUGUGCAAGUGUCUCCUUAUAUUCAGAGAUUUUGGUCCAUCAAUUUACUUCCUGGAAUCAAACAACUUUCUUAGAACAUUAUUGUUUACUACUUGUUUACCGAAAGUGAAUUCCUGGCUGGAUAGGCACAGGUUGUGGUGUGAAUUUAGUCAGAGAAAAGGUGAUUGACAAAUAAUAUAUUAAAAGUGCUCACCACAAGCUUUUACAUAAAAGCCAAUAGAUUUGUUCUUUUUUGUCUAUCAACUACAAUACACAGCAGUUCACUGUUUGAAUUCAAAUCUAAAACUUGAUAACUUUGGCUUUAAGGCUUUGGUUUAGCAUGUGCCUACCCAGAUAUAACCUCACAGCGCUUCUUGUCACACACCCCUAGAUAAUUAGGUAUUGACCUGAACAAUUCAAAUUUCAGCUGCAUUUAUUGAACUGUACAAAAAAGAAUCCUCCAAUGACUGUGUGUUAGGUUUUUCACAGUUUUCAGACCGGAUAUGACACAUUUUUAAUUUAGAUUUUUUUGUAUGACAGCUUUAAAUUUGUAUUAUGUAUUGCCAAACCAACAAACAUAUCCAAUGUAAUUCUAAUUGUUUAAUUUGCCUGUUAGAUUGACCAUCCUCAUUAUCUCUAUUGGAGCUCUACCCAGAGGCAUUGGAUUGGUUUGAUGUAUUGCACGCUGUCAUAGAUUUUUCUUUGAUUUUAAUGCUAAACACAAAUUGUAACUUAGUGAGCAGUUAACAACUUUCUGGUAAUUUAAUUAUGUAAUUAUUUAUGUAACAAAAUGUAUUUACAGUUUUGUACUGGUAUUUGAUUCAAAAUACUACAACGAUUCAUUUAGUGCCUACCUAGAAAAAAAGUUGCAAAUCAAGUUGUAAUUGGUUUGAUUUACACUAAAAUACUGAUUCAG